rnacentral:rRNA from 1 species
GACGAACGCUGGCGGCGUGCUUAACACAUGCAAGUCGAACGGAAAGGCCCUGCUUUUGUGGGGUGCUCGAGUGGCGAACGGGUGAGUAACAAGUGAGUAACCUGCCCUUUACUUUGGGAUAACUUCCGGAAACUGGGGCUAAUACCGGAUAGGAGCUCCUGCUUCCUGGUGGGGGUUGGAAAGUUUCGGCGGUUGGGGAUGGACUCGCGGCUUAUCAGCUUGUUGGUGGGGUAGUGGCUUACCAAGGCUUUGACGGGUAGCCGGCCUGAGAGGGUGACCGGCCACAUUGGGACUGAGAUACGGCCCAGACUCCUACGGGAGGCAGCAGUGGGGAAUAUUGCACAAUGGGCGGAAGCCUGAUGCAGCAACGCCGCGUGCGGGAUGACGGCCUUCGGGUUGUAAACCGCUUUCGCCUGUGACGAAGCGUGAGUGACGGUAAUGGGUAAAGAAGCACCGGCUAACUACGUG